UCCUGGACAACAAAGCAAGACACUGUUGCAAAAAAAAAAAAAAGAAAAGAAAAAGAAAAAAGAAUUAUCAACUCUUACUGUCCCUGAACAUUGAAGAUCAAGAGAUCAAUGACAUUCUAAAUGUUGGAAUUUACAGUCUUCCAGUCUCCUGGACCACAAUGUACAGUUAAUAGAUCUUUCCAAGCUUUAUGGUACUGAAUCCCUAAUUAGCAUUCCACUGAAGAGCUCUUAAGGAACUGAAAAGGAACUGCUGCGUACCACUCCUGCUGAUGGGUAGGUUUACAUAGGGGUAAGUAUUAUCCCUCUCCAGGGCUUUGUCAUGUUUGUUACUUAUGUACUUGCUACUAACAAAAGUAUAAUUAUCUAUUUUUCAGCAUAAAUGCUUCUGUCUCUUGGACUAGAAACCUCUCAGACCAAUGUCAAGUGAACAGCAUCAAAAGUAAAUGCUAAGCAAGAUUUACUUGCUUACAGAGUAAAAAGAAAAAGAGUAUCAGAGAAAGCCUAUUACAGUAGUAAAACAUAGACACUACGAGAAAACACAAUGAAAAUUCUAUUAAAGUUUUUUUUAAAACUUCCUAUUAUA
rnacentral:lncRNA from 1 species